UAAGACAAUAAAACUACGGAUGUGUGGGAGCCUUUUUAACGCCUUGUCUGGUAUUACA
rnacentral:rRNA from 1 species